AAAUCACUUAACAGUAAUAAGGGAGGUAUAGCUCACUUAUGCAUCUCUUUAUUUUUAAAAAGUGAGUGUUUAAUCAUUUCUGCUGCAGACGAAACUCUGGCAGGGAGGGAGUGGGGUUGGGGGGCUGGGGACGAUUGGGGGUGGAGUUGGUUGACGGAGAGAGAGAGAUCGGUAUUUUUUUCCAGGGGGUGAAAGGCGGACGAUCAUGUGUGCAGAGCCCAUGACAAAAGGCUCUUUUAUGUGCAGCGUAUGCAGAUAGAGGAGGCUCCUUUGUGUACAGAUGGAGAUCCCAUGCCUGGGUCUGCCUGCGGCGAAGGGAGGGAGGAGGAGAAAGGGAGUGAGAGAGGGAGGGGUGGGUCUGGCAUCGAGUGCCAUCAUGUGCCGGCCAGGGGUAGGAAGGGAACGAGGUGGUGUGGUAAAGAUGACCCAGGUUACCCUGUCCUCAUGCCCCUGCCAAGUUCAGAUAAUGAGGAAUAACUGGGGUUAAUAGCUAAAGGCAGUGUUGUAUUCGAGACCACCUAAAGCGAGACCGAUUCAAGACCAAGACCAGAGUGAAUCGCGUCCGAGUCAAGCCCAAGACCGGAGGGAGGGCGAGGGCGAGGCCGAGUCAUGACCAAGACCGGAGGGAGGGCGAGGCCGAGUCAAGACUAAGACCGGAGGGGGGGCGAGGCCGAGUCAAGACAAAGACCAAGGCUGAGGGGGGGAGGCGAGGCCGAGUCAAGACCAAGACCGGAGGGGGUGCGAGGCCGAGUCAAGACCGGGAGGGGGACAAGAGAUCGGAAAUAUGCGAGUCCAAUUUAAGACCAUGAUUGUAAUUUGUCAAAUCACCACCAUAAGAGUUGAAAAUGUCCAGUAUUACUGUGUUCAUAUUUCAGAACAACAUAUGAAUUCUUUACACAUUCAGAAUAGAGCCACUCUUCAAAUUAUUACUAACCUUAACACAGGGGGGAACAAUGGGCAUUCUACAAUGGGUAUUUCAGAGAAAGGCUAAGGAUUUAUAAUUAUUUUCAAUGAUGUUCUCAUGAAAUGUCAUCAGUUUUUGUUGGAAAGGAAAGGGAUAACACUGAUGAGAAAGAUCCAAUCAAGUUUUUUCUCUGCUGGUCUCUGGGGAGAUAAAUCUAGCUAGCUAAGUCAGCCAUUGGCUAGGCCAUCAGAUGCUAGAUAAAGGCAUCUGCCAUUCAACUAUAUUAGGGCAACAUUUUGGAAUGACAGUGGAAUCAACCAAUCACAUUUUGACUUAAUGGGUGGGACCGUUUUUACAAAAAUGUAUGGAAACUUCUUGAAGGCCAACAGGUCACUGCGCAAUAGCGAGCAGUAGUUUUCCCACAGUCUAGCUAGCUAGCCUUUGUUGUCAGCUAGUUGGCUAGUUUGCAACGGCUGCAGCAGGUGUUAUCAAAGAGGAUGUUGUUGCUAAUUUGUUAGCUUCUCCCUUUUCAAGAAUAACUUUCAACAAGAAGGUGAUCAUCAUCUGGUGAGUGGAACUGUGUUUUUUAUUGCAGCGCACCAUCUUUUGUUAGCCAUCUCUUUUAAAUAACUUAUGCGUGUGAAACAUUGUUGCAUUUAAAGUGGAACUGAUAGCAUUUUAGCAACAUGACAUCUUAUUAAAAUCUGUUCAUUUACACCUCCAGGAAGUAUAUUACACUUUAAAAAAAUAUUCUGAAAAACAACCACUUAGAUAUGGUAAUUUUCG
rnacentral:lncRNA from 1 species